UACGGGGGGGGCAAGCGUUGUUCGGAAUUACUGGGCGUAAAGGGCUCGUAGGUGGCCAACUAAGUCAGACGUGAAAUCCCUCAGCUUAACUGGGGAACUGCGUCUGAUACUGGAUGGCUUGAGUUUGGGAGAGGGAUGCGGAAUUCCAGGUGUAGUGGUGAAAUGCGUAGAUAUCUGGAGGAACACCGGUGGCGAAGGCGGUGAUCUGGGCCGACACUGACGCUGUAGAGCGAAAGCGUGGGGAGCGAACAGG
rnacentral:rRNA from 1 species